UCCGGGGUAGCUCAAUAGGCAGAGCGUCACGCUGUUAACGUGCGGGUUGUGGGUUCGAGUCCCACCCCCGGAG
rnacentral:tRNA from 2 species